GGAAUAUUGCGCAAUGGACGAAAGUCUGACGCAGCGACGCCUCGUGAGGGACGAAGGUCUUCGGAUUGUAAACCUCUUUCAGCAGGGACGAAGCGAAAGUGACGGUACCUGCAGAAGAAGCACCGGCUAACUAUGUGCCAGCAGCCGCGGUAAUACAUAGGGUGCAAGCGUUGUCCGGAUUUAUUGGGCGUAAAGAGUUCGUAGGCGGUUUCUCGCGUCGGAUGUGAAAACUCAGGGCUCAACCCUGAGCCUGCAUUCGAUACGGGGAAACCUGAGGACGGCAAGGGAGACUGGAACUCCUGGUGUAGCGGUGGAAUGCGCAGAUAUCAGGAAGAACACCAAUGGCGAAGGCAGGUCUCUGGGCCGAUUCUGACGCUGAGGAACGAAAGCGUGGGGAGCAAACAGGAUUAGAUACCCUGGUAGUCCACGCCGUAAACGAUGGACGCUAGGUGUGGGGAACAUUCCACGUUCUCUGCGCCGCAGCUAACGCAUUAAGCGUCCCGCCUGGGGAGUACGACCGCAAGGUUAAAACUCAAAGGAAUUGACGG
rnacentral:rRNA from 1 species